UAGUACUUGAUUUUUUUAAUUUAUGUCACGAUUCUUUGAUAUCACAAAGAAUCGCAAUCAUAUGUGUUCUGAUUAUAGUUUAUGAAGAGUGACAUCUUUAAUUCCUUUUAUGAGGAUGAAUUCGGUCCAACGUAAAAGCUUAAAGAUGGUGUCGGAGUUUGGUUUUGAUCCAAAGACAUGUGUAUUAUGUUACAGUUCAAAUUACAGUUGCAUACCUUUUUUAUAGGACACUUCAUGACCGUGGUCCAUAUCCACCAGAUCAAGUUGCUAAGGAACUUGAUGGUAGUUUUUCCUUUGUUGUUUAUGACAGCACAGUUGGAACUGUUUUUUCUGCACUGCUAUAUAUAUAUAUAUAUUUGUUACUCUACCAUGUUCUUUGUCAACAAUUCUUCAAAAUCUCAACCCAUCAAUGAAUGAUCUUAAUAUUAUACAAGAGGGUUGUGCUAAUCUGUAUAAUACAAUAAAUCAUACAAAAUCAUUGUUUGGAGAAUGUAGAAAGAGUCCUUUGGUCAUUUGGGUGUGGUGAAUCUUUACAUGUAAAUUAUUUCUGAGAGAUGGAGAUAGUAAGAUUAUCUUUCGGUUCUGCUGUUUUCUAUUGUCCUUGUUAUUUUUUGCUGUCAUGGCCUGUUGUUGGUGUAUCGUUCCCUUGCCCUUUUAGGUAUUGCUUGUGUCGGGGCCUGUUGUUGGUGUGUUGUUUAGGCUGGCGCGGUCUGAAGGCCUUCUGCAGCUGCUGAGGCUUUGAUAACAUGUUAAUUGACAUUUAAGGGUCAAGCAACAUUUAAGAGUUUCCCUGAUAGCUCGGUAUGGUGGUGAUCGCUUUUUGCUUGACACGCUAAAGACCAUGUAUCCUUCAAGCGUUUCUUAAGCUUGGCAGUUAUCUCCAAGCUGAGGCAGAUUGUACAAAAGCAAUAAGUCUUGACAAAAAGAGUAUGAAGGCGUACUUCCAUACAGGUACAAUUAGAGAGAUGCUGGGCUACUACAAAGAAGCAAUUGAUGAUUUUAAAUAUACCCCUGUACUUGAGCCAACCAACAAAAGGGCUGCUUGAGCUGCUGAAAGAUUGAGGAAUCUAAUACUCAAGAAGAGUUGAAGGAUUUGCAAGGAUUUUGAGUUAGGAGGGAGAUCAAGAUCAAAUUUUCCUAUAUUAUGAUAAUUACUUUAUUAUGUUAGUUUUUAGAUUGUACGAAUAUUAUUGAUAUAUUCAUGGUUUUGUACGAAAAUGAUUUAUGGAUUGUACGAAUAUUAUGAUGAUA